rnacentral:rRNA from 1 species
UACGUAGGGACCGAGCGUUGUCCGGAAUCAUUGGGCGUAAAGAGCGUGUAGGCGGCUAUUUAAGUCCUGCGUGAAAUCCUGCGGCUCAACCGCAGACGGUCGUGGGAAACUGGAUGGCUAGAGUGCGGGAGAGGAGAGUGGAAUUCCCAGUGUAGAGGUGAAAUUCGUAGAUAUUGGGAAGAACACCGGUGGCGAAGGCGGCUCACUGGACCGAGACUGACGCUGAGGCGCGAAAGCGUGGGGAGCAAACAGG